rnacentral:misc_RNA from 1 species
UCUUUUUUUUUUUUUUUUAAUUGUUUGGUAGGUUUUAUGAUAUGGUAAAUUUAGUCUAACAAUGUCUACUUUUGGUGGUAUAUGUCAGAACAUUAAUGAGCAAGGACAAUCAAGUGGCAAUUUUGCAUAGGUAAUAGGGUGAUGAUUACAUAAUGAGCAUUCUAGGAAGACUCUUUGGGUUGCUCUCAUCCCAGUUCAUUAUGCUUGGAUUAUGUUAUAUACAUGUGUCACCAUGAAAAUAGUCCUGAACAUCACCACAAUGUGUUGUGAGACCUAUAUUGUAAAUCUGAGGGUUUAUUUAGCAUUUUAGUAUCAAGGUACUCAGUAAGACUGCUUGAUGGAUUUACAACUGCUAAGCAGACCCGAUGUACAACUUUAGUAUGCUAACACACUUCUGGAACUCUCUGUUAAAAUGUCCAUGCCAAACAUGUAGACUGAUAAACUGAAGUUGGGAUAACUUUGAAGAACUUUGAAGAACUUGGAAGAAGUUUAGCAUUUAAUAGUGGUACAGAAAAAUAGGUUUUGAGGAAGAGAGAGAGAUUCCAUUAGUUUUUGGGAAAGUAGUCAUUGACAGUAAUUGAGAUGUGAAGCCAGUGCAGUGCAUCCAACUUCUUCAUCUAGCUUUUAAUGUUAAUGUAAAUCUUAUCAUUGCUUUCUGUCUUCCUGAAUCAUGACAGAUACAUGAUUAUGGAUAGAGUGAAUAUGAUACUUCCUAUAGCUAAUAUACUCGGUAUUAAAGGAUGAAACUAAAGUCUUGUUCACACCAUAUCUUGACAGCAGCCUCCUUUGUUAUUAUGAAUGGUGAAACAGUUUGAAUGUUUAACUGAUGUCUGUUAAACCCUUUAUGGAGUUGCUCAUCCAUAAUACUUGAUGCAGAUUCAUGUACAUGUGGAAAUCAA